rnacentral:hammerhead_ribozyme from 1 species
AUCCAUCUGACGAGUCCCAAAUAACAUGAAACGCGCGUCCUGGAU